UCUGACGGAGCACGCCGCGUGAGUGAUGAAGGUUUUCGGAUCGUAAAGCUCUGUUGUUAGGGAAGAACAAGUGCAAGAGUAACUGCUUGCACCUUGACGGUACCUAACCAGAAAGCCACGGCUAACUACGUGCCAGCAGCCGCGGUAAUACGUAGGUGGCAAGCGUUGUCCGGAAUUAUUGGGCGUAAAGGGCUCGCAGGCGGUUUCUUAAGUCUGAUGUGAAAGCCCCCGGCUCAACCGGGGAGGGUCAUUGGAAACUGGGAAACUUGAGUGCAGAAGAGGAGAGUGGAAUUCCACGUGUAGCGGUGAAAUGCGUAGAGAUGUGGAGGAACACCAGUGGCGAAGGCGACUCUCUGGUCUGUAACUGACGCUGAGGAGCGAAAGCGUGGGGAGCGAACAGGAUUAGAUACCCUGGUAGUCCACGCCGUAAACGAUGAGUGCUAAGUGUUAGGGGGUUUCCGCCCCUUAGUGCUGCAGCUAACGCAUUAAGCACUCCGCCUGGGGAGUACGGUCGCAAGACUGAAACUCAAAGGAAUUGACGGGGGCCCGCACAAGCGGUGGAGCAUGUGGUUUAAUUCGAAGCAACGCGAAGAACCUUACCAGGUCUUGACAUCCUCUGACAACCCUAGAGAUAGGGCUUUCCCUUCGGGGACAGAGUGACAGGUGGUGCAUGGUUGUCGUCAGCUCGUGUCGUGAGAUGUUGGGUUAAGUCCCGCAACGAGCGCAACCCUUGAUCUUAGUUGCCAGCAUUUAGUUGGGCACUCUAAGGUGACUGCCGGUGACAAACCGGAGGAAGG
rnacentral:rRNA from 1 species